rnacentral:rRNA from 1 species
UACGUAGGGUGCAGGCGUUAAUCGGAAUUACUGGGCGUAAAGGGUGCGCAGGCGGUUUGUUAAGACAGGUGUGAAAUCCCCGGGCUUAACCUGGGAAUUGCGCUUGUAACUGGCAGGCUAGAGUGUGGCAGAGGGGGGUGGAAUUCCACGUGUAGCAGUGAAAUGCGUAGAUAUGUGGAGGAACACCGAUGGCGAAGGCAGCCCCCUGGGUUAACACUGACGCUCAUGCACGAAAGCGUGGGGAGCAAACAGG